GCUCAAGUUGCCUAGGGUUCCGCGGCGCGAUUUUUUUCGCCGGUCUGGUCCGAGAGGGAACGGCACGGCCGACAGGCCGCGUUUACACGGAGGGAUAAAAGCCCGGGAGAU
rnacentral:sRNA from 2 species